rnacentral:rRNA from 1 species
UACAGAGGGGGCAAGCGUUGUUCGGAAUUACUGGGCGUAAAGGGCGCGUAGGCGGCCUUCUAAGUCGAACGUGAAAUCCCCGGGCUCAACCCGGGAACUGCGUCCGAUACUGGAAGGCUUGAAUCCGGGAGAGGGAUGUGGAAUUCCAGGUGUAGCGGUGAAAUGCGUAGAUAUCUGGAGGAACACCGGUGGCGAAGGCGACAUCCUGGACCGGCAUUGACGCUGAAUAGCGAAAGCCAGGGGAGCAAACGGG